rnacentral:lncRNA from 10 species
UUGAAGAGGUCCUUCACAUCCCUUGUAAGUUGGAUUCCUAGGUUUGUCAGAUGGGUAGAAGCAAUUUUUAAUUUUAAUUUAAAAUCUGAUAAGUUAUUUUAAUUAUGUACUAGGCACAGAUAAGGUCUGACUCUUUCCAGCAUAGUUAGGGGUGUGGUAAUCACCAUAUGCCCCCACGUCUUACCAAACUGUAAAGCAGGCAAGUUGAACAAUUUUCAAAAGCCAAAGAAGCAAUCGAUGACCUUAAAGCAUUUAGGAAACCUAGUAUCUGACCUGCAGGCAAAGGAGGAAGUAAAAGAGAAAAACUGGGAAGCCAGACUCCUUUUAACCACCUGCUUUUGUGAGAACUAUUUUACUCCAGCAACAGACAGAACCUACUCAUUCUCAGGAGAGGGCAUUAAUCUAUUUAUGAGGGAUGUGUUCUUAUGACCUAAACACCUUUCACUAGGGCUCACCUUCAAACACCACCAAAAGGGGAUCAAAUUUCAACAUGAAUUUUGAUGGGGAUGAAACAUAUUCAAUACAUAGUACCACUUGUGGAUAAAACUGUAACCAGAAAUGCUAAUGGACUCUAUUACAUUAAGAAGUCUCCAAUCAAACAAAGGACGUGUCCUUAUAGACAUCUGUUUACAUUUUUUC